UGUAUUCGAUUGUAUUCGACAUUUCGACUGUAUUCACGGCGUGAAACAGGGGAUUACACUAUUUUUAAACGAAAAGUGAAUCAAUUAACAUAAUCGACUCCU
rnacentral:pre_miRNA from 1 species